rnacentral:rRNA from 1 species
GACGAACGCUGGCGGCGUGCUUAACACAUGCAAGUCGAACGGAAAGGCCCUGCUUUUGUGGGGUGCUCGAGUGGCGAACGGGUGAGUAACACGUGAGUAACCUGCCCUUGACUUUGGGAUAACUUCAGGAAACUGGGGCUAAUACCGGAUAGGAGCUCCUGCUGCAUGGUGGGGGUUGGAAAGUUUCGGCGGUUGGGGAUGGACUCGCGGCUUAUCAGCUUGUUGGUGGGGUAGUGGCUUACCAAGGCUUUGACGGGUAGCCGGCCUGAGAGGGUGACCGGCCACAUGGGGACUGAGAUACGGCCCAGACUCCUACGGGAGGCAGCAGUGGGGAAUAUUGCAUAAUGGGCGGAAGCCUGAUGCAGCAACGCCGCGUGCGGGAUGACGGCCUUCGGGUUGUAAACCGCUUUCGCCUGUGACGAAGCGUGAGUGACGGUAAUGGGUAAAGAAGCACCGGCUAACUACGUG